UUGAAAGGGAAACGAUUGAAGUCAGUCGUACCUGUGGGUAAUCAGCCUUUUGGGUGUGAUUUUGUGGAGUGUGAGGAGUUAAACGCCUUCAUGCCCGCAUAUUCGUGCACUUUGGGUGUAUUUACCCGUGUGGUAAGUUAACAUCAAUUUCGGUGGUCAUAAAAUGGCUGGGGGAAAGUAGGUUUGGUCUUGUAAUGAAGUGUUAUACCUUCGGCAGAUGUGAUGAUCGGGAUUGAGGAUUGCAACGAAUCCUUCGGGGCUAACCCGUUAGAUCAAAUUGAUGGUCGAUGGGUUACAUUCGUUAAGGAUGUUGACGUA
rnacentral:rRNA from 1 species